rnacentral:tRNA from 1 species
GUGGAUUUAGCUCAGUGGUAAAAGAGUGCUUGCCUAGCAUGCAUGGAGCCCUGGGUUCAGUCCCUAGCACCACA